rnacentral:misc_RNA from 1 species
AGGGUUUCAUAUUCAUGGAAAGGUGUUUGAUGGAAACAUAUGGAAAUACACAUGCGAAAACCAAAGCAUUGUCUGGAAAGGAAAAGUAUAAUGAGUAGUGGAUUUUAAUAUUAGUUAAGUGAAGUGCGUGCCUCUAGAUUUGAGCCAGUUCUAAUAGUUGGAGAUCCCAUGACAUUCUUGGAAGAUUGUAUGACUUCUUGUCCAUUGGCAUAGUGGUGGCGGCACACCGGCAUAU